AACGAACGCUGGCGGCAUGCCUAACACAUGCAAGUCGAACGAGACCUUCGGGUCUAGUGGCGCACGGGUGCGUAACGCGUGGGAACCUGCCCUUAGGUUCGGAAUACCUCCCCGAAAGGGGUGCUAAUACCGGAUAAUGUCUUCUGACCAAAGAUUUAUCGCCUUUGGAUGGGCCCGCGUUGGAUUAGCCUGUUGGUAGGGUAAAAGCCUACCAAGGCUACGUUCCAUAGCUGGUCUGAGAGGAUGAGCAGCCACACUGAGACGGAGACACGGCCCAGACUCCUGCGGGAGGGAGCAGAGGGGAAUAUUGGACUAUGGGCGAAAGGCUGAACCAGCAAGGGCGGGAGAGUGAUGAAGGCCUUAGGGUUGUAAAGCUCUUUUACCCGGGAUGAUAAUGACAGUACCGGGAGAAUAAGCUCCGGCUAACUCCGUG
rnacentral:rRNA from 1 species